rnacentral:tRNA from 5 species
UACGGACUAAAAUCCGUCGACUUUAAAAAUCGUGAGGGUUCAAGUCCCUCUAUCCCCA